GCCAGGCAUGGUGGUGUACACCUGUAGUCCUAACUACUGGGGAGGCUGAGAUAGGAGGAUUGCUUGAGGCCAGGAGUUUAAGACCAGCCUGGGUAACAUAGCAAGAUCCUGUCUCUACAAAAAAAAAUAGGCCAGGUGUGGUGGCUUAUCAUGCCUGUCAUCCCAACACUUUGGGAUGCCGAGGCAGGAAGAUUGCUUGAGCCCAGGAGUUCAAGACCAGCCUGGGCAAUAUAGUAAGAUCUUGUCUCU
rnacentral:sRNA from 1 species